GGAUUGAUUCUUUCAUUCUUUUCUCAACGCCAAAAUUUUCUCCAUUCUCUAGUCUUCAAGGUUCUGCGUCUUCAAGCAAAGAGGAGGAGAAGAAGAAGCCAUGAGCCUCCCUAGCCGCCAACCUUCCACCUUGUGUCAUGAUAUUGAAGCCUUGCUUUCAAGAUUCAAGAUCAACCUCUCAAUAGCUCUUCAUCAUCCACUCUCUUCACGGUGUGUACCCUCAAUCCCCGGUUAGAACGAUCCCUAUUUACAAUAUACUAACGAUGACAUUUUACAUGGUUAAAUUGCGCGCUUGCUUUUAGCGUAUCAGGCAAUAAAAAUUUAUUAGAUAUUAUUGGGAGGCAAUAAAACUAGAUGCUAGACUCCGAUCACCGGUCCCGGUGACAUAGAGGUUGGAGCAAAAUCAUAAAUGUGGGCUUUUGUUCUUUGGUUCUUUGAGGGGACACAGAGGUUGCCAUAUUUAUAGUAAUUUAGUAUCUGUCGGCAUCACUGACAUGGUCCUUUUUGUUUUUUUUGGGAUAAAGGUCCCUUUUUUUAAUUUAUUCAAUAAAUUAGUUUUUCUUUGUUGGUCUUGGCUGGAAUGUACGGGGCCAAAAUGCACCGAUGAUGUACAAUGUGGGUCCAUGACACGUGGCAACCUAUGGACCAAGCGUUUUGAUGAAAGAGAUUAAAUAUUGCAUUUGAUUAAAAAUAAAAUAAAACAGAAAAUACUAAAUAUUCAUGGUUGAGAA